CACGGGAGAGACUCCAGCUGCAGGGGACUGGCCCAGCUACCGAGAUGACCACUGAAGGGGAAGUCCCAUAAAGCCAAAUUUUACUUCGCUAGGAGCCUGAGGAAGGCAGCCAGCAUCAAGGCCAAAUGGUUCCAACUGGUGGACAAGGCGUGGAGAUCAGAGCUCUAGUUAGUGGCCAUGUGCAAAGUCCAACUGGUGGCAGCUUUGUCGAUGUGAGUGGUCUGUGUAAUUUGGAGAAGUCUGCCCUAGCCAAAGCCAGCGGAGUGGCCCAUUCCUCUCCCAUAGAAUUCUGCCAUCUCCUGACCAUUGGCUCCCAACCACUGAACGUUUGUGCCCCCCACCCCCAAAUCCAUAUGUUGAAACACUAAUCUUCAAUGUGAUGGCAUUUGGAGAUGAGGCCUUCGGGAGGUAAUCAGAUCAUAAAGGUAAAGGUGGACAUCAGGAAGUUGUCUUUCUCCAUUCCUCAACUCUACUUCUCUCACACGCAUUGGCUGAGUCAGAGGCGGCUGCCGAGCGGCUGAGAAAUCAGGGCUGUGAAGAUGAGAAACCAAGCUGAGAUUCCAGCGGUCUCACAUGCUGAGGGAACAAACAUUGAUGCAAGAUAAUGAACUUCUUAGGUGAUCAAAGAGUACAGCUCUGCAAGUGGAUGUUGACAUUUAAGGAAAUUGGAAAAAAUUUUGGCAUGCAAAUUAAUCAAACGAAGCCGGAAACUAGUGAUUUUCCCUAGUGUGUAUACCUAAGAGUGGAACUGUGCCUGUUCAACUUCACACACAGUGGAAAACUCUCUCCUAAAAUGUUUGCAACAAUUUUCACUUCUCGAGCAGUGGAUGAAGAUUCUCAUUGCUCCACAUUCUUGCCAACACAUAGUGAUGUAAAACAAUGUGUUAUCGAGACAUCUGUGUGUGUUUCUGGGUUUGCUAAUGAGUUUGAGCGUCUUUUCAUGUAUUCAAAGGUUAUUGAUGUAUUUCUUCUUUGAAAUGUCUGUUUGUGCGUUUUGUUCACUUUUAAUUGGUUCCUUCCUUUUUUCUUAUUGAGCGAUUGAUAGGAUAAUAACCCUUUGUUGGUUAUAUACAUUGUGAGAAUUUUCUCGGUUCUUAGUUUGUGUUUUGUGGUCUUUAUGGUGUCUUUUGAUGAUCAGAAGUUGGUCAUUUUAAUCGAAUAAUAGAUUUUAUCAAUCUUUUGUUUCAUGAUUUGCAUUUUCUGUUUUUUGCUUAAUAGACUCCUCCCUGCCUGAGGUCAUAAUAUGUCCUACAAUAAUUACAGAGGUUUCCAUUCCAUUUGAAUCUUUAUUAUAUCUGAAACUGAUUCUUUGAAUGAUGUAGAGAAGUAAUUUGUCAUUUAUUCCCCGAGUGGAUCAAUGAUGACCCAAAACCAUUUAUUUCCAUUGAUCUGCACUGACAAGUAUGUCAUAAAUUAAAUUAAAUCUUCCUAUAUAGAUAUGAUCACUUAUGAACCUUUUAGUCUGUCCCAUUUGUCUAGA
rnacentral:lncRNA from 1 species